UACGAGGGGUCCCUAGCGUUGUUCGGAAUCAUUGGGCGUAAAGGGUGUGUAGGUGGCUAUGUAAGUCAGGUGUGAAAGCCCUGGGCUCAACCCAGGAAGUGCAUUGGAAACUGUCAGACUUGAAUACGGGAGAGGGUAGUGGAAUUCCUAGUGUAGGAGUGAAAUCCGUAGAUAUUAGGAGGAACACCGGUGGCGAAGGCGGCUACCUGGACCGAUAUUGACGCUGAGACGCGAAAGCGUGGGUAGCAAACAGGAUUAGAAACCCGAGUAGU
rnacentral:rRNA from 1 species